AGUGAACGCUGGCGGUAGGCCUAACACAUGCAAGUCGAACGGCAGCACAGUAAGAGCUUGCUCUUACGGGUGGCGAGUGGCGGACGGGUGAGGAAUACAUCGGAAUCUACUUUUUCGUGGGGGAUAACGUAGGGAAACUUACGCUAAUACCGCAUACGACCUACGGGUGAAAGCAGGGGAUCUUCGGACCUUGCGCGAUUGAAUUAGCCGAUGUCGGAUUAGCUAGUUGGCGGGGUAAAGGCCCACCAAGGCGACGAUCCGUAGCUGGUCUGAGAGGAUGAUCAGCCACACUGGAACUGAGACACGGUCCAGACUCCUACGGGAGGCAGCAGUGGGGAAUAUUGGACAAUGGGCGCAAGCCUGAUCCAGCCAUACCGCGUGGGUGAAGAAGGCCUUCGGGUUGUAAAGCCCUUUUGUUGGGAAAGAAAAGCAGCAGAUUAAUACCCCGCUGUUCUGACGGUACCCAAAGAAUAAGCACCGGCUAACUUCGUG
rnacentral:rRNA from 1 species